rnacentral:rRNA from 1 species
UACGAAGGGGGGCUGGCGUUGUUCGGAAUUACUGGGCGUAAAGCGCGCGUAGGCGGCUUUGCAAGUCGAGUGUGAAAUCCCCAGGCUUAACCUGGGAACUGCAUUCGAGACUGCAUAGCUAGAGUAUGGGAGAGGGAAGUGGAAUUUCAGGUGUAGCGGUGAAAUGCGUAGAUAUCUGAAGGAACAUCAGUGGCGAAAGCGACUUCCUGGACCAAUACUGACGCUCAUGUGCGAAAGCGUGGGGAGCAAACAGG